rnacentral:rRNA from 1 species
UACGGGGGGGGGCAAGCGUUGUUCGGAAUUACUGGGCGUAAAGGGCUCGUAGGUGGCCAACUAAGUCAGACGUGAAAUCCCUCGGCUUAACCGGGGAACUGCGUCUGAUACUGGAUGGCUUGAGUUUGGGAGAGGGACGCGGAAUUCCAGGUGUAGCGGUGAAAUGCGCAGAUAUCAGGAAGAACACCCGUGGCUAAGGCGGCUCUCUAGUACGGUACUGACGCUGAGACGCGAAAGCGUGGGGAGCGAACAGG